GCAGCAUCCAUCACUUUCCGCGC
rnacentral:siRNA from 1 species